AUUGAACGCUGGCGGCAGGCCUAACACAUGCAAGUCGAACGAGUGGCGGACGGGUGAGUAAUGUCUGGGAAACUGCCUGAUGGAGGGGGAUAACUACUGGAAACGGUAGCUAAUACCGCAUACCAUCGGAUGUGCCCAGAUGGGAUUAGCUAGUGGGUGGGGUAACGGCUCACCAAGGAGCCGAUCCCUAGCUGGUCUGAGAGGAUGACCAGCCAAACGGGAACUGAGACACGGUCAGGACUCCUACGGGAGGCAGCAGUGGGGAAUAUGGCACAAUGGGCGAAAGCCUGAUGCAGCCAUGCCGCGUGUAUGAAGAAGGCCUUAGGGUUGUAAAGUACUGUCAGCGGGGAGGCGUUACCCGCAGAAGAAGCACCGGCUAACUCCGUGCCAGCAGCCGCGGUAAUUC
rnacentral:rRNA from 1 species